rnacentral:rRNA from 1 species
AUACGGAGGAUCCGAGCGUUAUCCGGAUUUAUUGGGUUUAAAGGGUGCGCAGGCGGGAGAUUAAGUCGGCGGUGAAAUUUUGCAGCUCAACUGUAAAAGUGCCUUCGAAACUGGUUUCCUUGGGUGUAGAUGAAGGAGGCGGAAUUUGUGGUGUAGCGGUGAAAUGCAUAGAUAUCACGAGGAACUCCGAUUGCGCAGGCAGCUUACUAAACUACUACUGACGCUCAGGCACGAAGGCGUGGGGAUCAAACAGGAUUAGAUACCCUGGUAGUCCACGCUGUAAACGAUGAUUACUAGCUGUUUGCGAUACAAUGUAAGCGGCUGAGCGAAAGCGUUAAGUAAUCCACCUGGGGAGUACGUUCGCAAGAAUGAAACUCAAAGGAAUUGACGGGG